UUAAGUUUUUGGAGCUAUAUCAAAAUUAACACGUAAUAUGGGACCUGAAGCAUUCGUACCAUAAGAACAGAAAACAAAUCAGUGAUGACAUGGGUUCGAUUAUACGAAAAACUGAAACGUUCAGUAACCGAGUUAAAGAAAAAAACUCGAUAAUGGCUACAUUUAAGGGCCAUUUGCGUAUAAAAAAAACUUCAGUUAGAUCAGGAGCCAGUGCAAAUUAUAUUUACAAGCCAAUAUGGCUUGCGUAUAAAUAUACAGUGUGAUUUAGAGAUAACACUAAAUUAUUCUGUCCAGUGGCAUCGGAUUGAUAUGCGGUUUUCGGGAGGAGAUAGGGAAUGCCUAAAUACACAUUUUUCGAUAGUUUUCAAAUUUUUAACUCUUUUAUUGAGGCAUUUGCAUUUUUUUUAAGUAGCAACAUUUCCUUUAACAACAGAGUUGGAUAAACCGACAUUUUUUUAAGUCAAUUUGGUCCUUUUUACCAAGACCAGUGGUGUUUAGGUUACCAUGACGUAUAGAAUCGCAUAAUAUUUCUGCUGCAUUGCAAACAAACUGUAUAGCGUCACAUCCGAUUUUGCAUCGAUCGAAGCCACACGAAGACCAAAUAUUCAAUUGUCCUGCGACUUUAUUUAAAGUUAUUUUCCUAUCUUUAAUCUUUUUUAUAGCUUCAUCUAGGUCAAUACACUCAGUACUGCUAACACACAUUUCGACAGUGAUCCGAUUACACGAAUUUCACUAUAAAUAAUUGUUAUUAAUUUUCUCAUUUUUUUUUUCAGGUUUUUCUGUUCGUUUCACGUCAGUCGAAAUGUAUAACGAUUCACCACCCGAGAGACGGCAGAUGCAUCGUCAACCGGAACGGUACCGCCAUCCUAGGCUGCGGACCAGCGCCAACACCACGACGGUUGACCAACACGGUCACGUACGCCGGUGCUACGGCAGUCAACCUGGUCGUGGUACGUACUGCGUCCGACGCCGUACUGCGCCACCACGGCCGCCGUCGUACGAACAACACCGGACGACGUCGGUGACCGUUCGUUCAUCGGCAAACCGACGACACCGUCGUCACCGUUGUUCGUGUAUUCGAGACCACUACCGACCGGUAGCGUCGGCAGUAAUAUCCGAGGUGGUGCAAACGGUACGGUUUCGUGCGCGCGCACCGCAGACGGUCGCGGACGGCGACGAUGGUACGCGGCUAUCCGGCACUGAACUCGGUAGACGGUUCGGGCAGCUACUUGCCCGCCGAUGUCCACCAACACCGCGCCUAUGACGACUCGCUAGGCUACCGGUGGGUGCCGCACGUCCUCAAGACGUACCGACCGGUGCUGCAUCCCGGUAUCAUGUGCGCCAACUGUCGGUUAAUG